UACGUAGGGUGCGAGCGUUAAUCGGAAUUACUGGGCGUAAAGCGUGCGUAGGCGGUUGGCAAAGUCAGCUGUGAAAGCCCCGGGCUUAACCUGGGAAUGGCGGUUGAAACUAGUCGACUAGAAUCUGGCAGAGGGGGGUGGAAUUCCACGUGUAGCAGUGAAAUGCGUAGAGAUGUGGAGGAACACCGAUGGCGAAGGCAGCCCCCUGGGCUGAGAUUGACGCUCAGGCACGAAAGCGUGGGAAGCAAACAGG
rnacentral:rRNA from 1 species